rnacentral:ncRNA from 2 species
CGCGCCCCGUCAGGAGAGAGUUUUCAUCAUCGAGAACCGCCGAAGGCGCAGGACGGCUGAUUGCAGCGGUCUGAACGCUCAGGCAAAAGGACUGACGAACGCCC